rnacentral:lncRNA from 1 species
UCCUCCUUCAUGCCCUAGAUUUGCCGACAUCAAAACCCAACGCCAAUCAAAUCUCAACCAGCCGUCGCACUAAUCCGGAGGCAGUGAAAUCAACCAGCGCCUAAACCUGAAGUUCGGACCAGUGGCGAAGCAACGACGAAGGCAACUGUUAACCGACGAUGAAAUCGACCGCUGCAAAUCUUAACCAAACGUGAAAUCGACGGUCGCACUACCGCGCCCUCAGUUCGGUGACGAAGCAGCGAAGAAUAUUAUAAGCGUCUCGUUCUCCGACGGUGUGAGAUGGUCUAUAAGUAACCCUGUUGCGUUGAGUUGAAAUAUCUUCAAGAGAGUAAGUAUUUUUUUUUCCUAUAUCUUCAUUAACACUAUUUUUCUUCUUGAUUUUGUAACCACGUGAAGACCCCGUUUGUAGUAAAUGAGAAUACUUUUUUUUAGCGUUGAGGAAUCUGUUUGCUGUAGUGAACUAUAGCUUGCUUCGUUGGUGAAUUUUGUAAGUGAUAAGGCGAUGAAGAAUCUGUUUUUGGUUCAUUGGUGAAUUUAAUUAUUUGUACUCUUGUGAUUUUUGAGGUGUUCUGGGAUGUGAGUUUGAAGUUUCUUCAUAUGGGCAGUGCUGAUUUCUUGUUUAUGUGAAACUGAUGUAUGCAUUUUUUUUAACGUUGAAGAUUUAUGGAUUUGGAAGUUUGAUUUGGAAGUGGAAAUCUGAUACAAUUUAUAGAGGUCUGUAAUUGCUUCACUUGCAUGUUAAUCGUGUUUUUCUUUCAAUGAAUCAGAAUGUUGUCAUUUAUUUUUCAUCCUGAAACCCCCUGCAGUUAUGAUUCACAUGGUUUCAUUUGCAGUCAUCCAGUAGAAUGAGAGGAAGAAAUUUUGGAGUUUG